AAGGUUUGAAAAAACUGACCUAAGACAGUAGGGGAGUUCAACUCAUAAACAUCCUACCGAGGCACAAAACGGAUAGAAACGUAUUUGUACUUUCGUGUCUAGGUUUGGCGCGUUUUUUUAUUGAAACA
rfam:Streptococcus cuniculi strain NED12-00049-6B 4, whole genome shotgun sequence.